GCAUGCGCGCCGCCGCCUUCGCACGCUGCUUGCAUAGUGCGCGAGCGGAAAGGGGGCAGUGCGCAUGCGCGCCGCGGGAGUGGCGCGACUGGCAGCCUUUAAAGUGGGGAGGUUGUGGGGCCCCUCCCACGCUACUUCUCCCCUCUCAGCCGGGCGGACGGGGUGGGGUGGGGUGGGGGCCCCGCGCCCCACUGGGCUGAGGGGCUGCAGGCCUCGAGCCUCUAAUGCUUCUCACGUCUGACCAAAAAAAAAAGGCGUAGCCCUUCCUCAAUUUUUCUCCCGUCCUAAUGCCCCCCCGACAUUAAAGGGACGGGCGUAAGGAGGAGUUGGGCUAGAGAUGGGCAAAAUAUGGCCCACGGGCCGCAUGCAGCCAGCGCGCCUAGGUCUUGCAGAUGAAAUUAUCAUAUUGGAAGCCCGAAAGGGUCGGAUUUGCUGAAAAACUAUGCAAAUACAUAUGCAAAUAAGUUAAGUUGUCCUCUUCACUUUAUGUUGUUCGCUGUAACAUGCCGAUGAGGGAGUUAUUGAGAACUGGAUCAAAGUUGAAGCUUUAUUUUGAGGCGAGCCGUCAUAAGAAAGCACUGACCUCAAAGUCAGCAAUCCUGUGGUCCAGGGAAGUUGAAGUGUUCUGCCACCGGCUCUUGUGUCUUCCUGCACCUGAUGUCAGAUCAGUGUUAAAAUUGAAACAGACUGAAAUUUUCCAUCAUUGAUCUCAAUCUAAAGGUUGGCUGACCUCCUACAUCAGGCUUUACACUAAGUACGAUGGGGGAUGGGGAGGCAGGAGAUGGAGAGAGUCUAGAACUUACAAACUGUGAGACAUGCAGCAGUACACCCCAGCUGUGAGAUCAUGAAUUGCAACUGCCAUAGGAAAAGACACGGUGAGCCAAAAACGAUGGAAUAACAGCCACUUUCGACUGCUUAGAGCCUGCAGAGAAAAGACAGUAAAAAGAUGGGGCUGCCUGGGCCUGAAGAGAAAGAUUGAAGCCCCAAGAGAGCUGGGGAGAGAAAACGUAGUCCUGGGAGGACAGAGCUGGAGAGAAAAGAAUAGUCCACAGGGAGGACAGAGCAGAAUUUGAGGAAGGACAGCGGGAACUUGGAAUGGUACAAUAAUGACUGCUUAUUUUAAAUCAGAGUCUGCUGUGCUGUUUGGGACAUUGGCACUCUAACCCUCUGCUCUUUUCCCUUUCCUGGGAGCUGAUCAAAAAGGAGCUCUCAGAGGUUAUUUUGACUUUUAUUAAAAGCUGCUCCGAGCAUUUUCUGAGGAAAGUAUCACAGAAAUCUAAUAAAUAAAUAUCUGCAAGAAGUCAAGAGGUCCCAACCUCUGGUGCUAGUCUCUCUGGCAAGUCAUGUUUUCUGCUACCAAGAAUCUGGCUUUCAGAAGACAGGAAGAUUUAUUAUUUCUUGUGGUAUGCAGCGUGCAUGCCGGUGAAAGCAACAAUAUGCCUGCACGAGAGCUGUGCUUUGCCAUACCUCAGCAAGGGUGCCUCACCUAGUUAAAGAUAAGUAGUUUCCAUCGUGUUGCAUUUGCUUGCACUUCAAAACAGGUAUCCCUAAGAGAACCGUCUUGUCCUAGGUGUGGAGAGAGUGCAUGGGAUGUGCUGCUAUAGAAGUAAUUUGUAACAUACAGGGCACAUCAACAUAUGUGCUUUAAUGCACAGUAAACUAUUAGAAAAGGCACACUAAGGCAUGUGUAAAUACACCCACAGCUUGCUACUACUGGCACCCACCUCUGCCAGUCAUUUGGGCACCAGUUAUUGCACAAACCUGAGCUCAGAUGGCCCUAGACCUUCUCAUCUUCCUUGAUAAAGAUCUCCAACUUGAUGGGAGCACAUCUCUGGGACAGUUUCUUCAGAGAUUUUCUCAGCUAGACAUUGCUCAAUAGGCCUGAGAAGAAAUGCUCAGCUGAGCUCUAUGGCAUGUGCAGUGCUAUUUGUACAGGUAAACUGCAUACAGCCUUUUUGUCCAACAAACGAAGUGGUCAAGUCACCUAGCCAGUGACCAAUGCACAAUGGGGUGGGAGAAGGAGGAUUUAGCUGCACCGCUGAAUGCAGUUACCUCUAGCCAUGCUGGCAAUUCUGAGAUUGGACUGUGAACAGCCUCACUUGAAUGCCGGGUUAAUCCAAGUGAUUGUUGCAGAGCACCCCUGCUGUUGACAGUACUUUAUAACAGGCCCCCUGAAGGACUGCAUGAUAAUUUCCUAUAGAAAAACAUGGGGUUCCACAUUAAAAUGAACUGAAGGUAGUACAGAGUAGCUUGUUCAGCAAGAUAUAUCAUCUGCCUGCAGGAUGCUGGAGCUCAGAUCUGUUAUGACUGUCCAUGAGCUUCUGGGUCAGUUUUCUGGGAUGGGAUUUGACCCAUAACAUCUUAAAAGGUUUGAGACUUGUUUAUUUAGGAGACUGCUUUGCUACUCCAUGGGCUGCUGCUUGCUGCAGUUACCAUCAACAGAGAGGCUCAAGCUGAUGGGGCCUCCUUGCCUUGAAAGGCAAAUCAUUGCUUUCAGGAUGUCCUCAGCUUCAGUCCAAAAUAGCCCACUGCUGUUAACCUUCAUGGGCAAAACCUCCACUCAUCCCUCCCCCUUCCCUUUCUUUUAGGCAAGUAGUGAGCAAAGGGAUAUUUUUAGUCAGCAGUAGGUUAGCAGGUUUAUUCAUGUCACAUGCAGAUUUGCCAUUGAACUUGUUUUUAUUACAUGACUUGUUUUAAAUAACUGUGGUAGGCACCAAGCUUCUGGGACAGAUGUGUACUGUUCAUUUAUAGCUCCAAGUAUAUUUUAGCAGUGUACAGAGCUCUUCCCUCCAGAGCUUGGCAGAACCUGUUGGUCCAGAAGAGAGGGGCCCUGGCUGACCUGUCAGACCACACAGAGUCACAGCAUGCAAGCUAAUUGGCUAUUCUUUAAGGCUAGGUACAGACAUUCAAAUCAAUCUAAGUUAUGCGGUUUUCUGUAAGCAGCAUAGUUUAGAUCAGUACGGAACAGAACACACAUUUGCCCUUAGGGGUGGCAAAUCUUAGCCUGGGUUCUACCAUUUUUAAACCAGUCUGUGCUUGCCAAACUUCUGGUCUGUUACAAACAUAGACCAGUUUCUGAUAACUUACACUGGUAAAAAUGUAAUGUCUGUACUUGGCCUAAAAGCAGGAAAGCUUUAAAGGUUUUCACUUCAGUGAUUAGAACCUGUCUCACACCUAAUCAGCAUCCCAGUAUCUCUACACACGUGCCAGAGAAAACCCCCUUGUUUCCACCUAUUGUUUACUUUCACUGAAUUUCAACAUGCAAGACCUGGCCAGGAGGUCUGAAAGGAAGUACUGGAAUCAUCUGAAGCGAUUAUACUAGGAAACUGCUGUAGAAGAAACCAGGACUUCUAAACUGGGUUCCUUGUUUGUUUCCCUGCCUAUGCAAAGAUGAUCUCAUUUACCUCUUGUAGCAUUCAGUAAAGUAUACUUGGUGACACUAGCAGAGUGCCUAGUCUCAUCAUAGAUACCCGUUACACUUGGCUGAUGAGGCAAGUUGCUUUUCAUCUGGUUUCAGCUCCGUGUUCUCAAUAGCUUCUUUUCUGUUUCUUGAACCCGAUUCCAGAGGGGAAAAGAUUAACCAGAUUUUAAAGCAUUUUUUAAAACAACUUGAAUUGCCUGUUCAUCAGUUUUUAUGUUUGUUUUUGAUAGAAGCUCUUUCAGUAUAAAGGCAUUUUCUUCUAAUGUAUUUGAAUUUUAUGUGUGUGCUUUUGUGCGUUUAAUCCUGGUUUGAAGGAGCAUUAAGACAAUACAGAUAGUUGCAAUCCCAAAAUUCUUGUUUGUGAUGCUGGAUAUUUUGCACUUGUAUGUUGCAUUUGCUGAAAUGUGUGAAGAAAUAGAAAGUUCAUAAUAAAAAGAGAAAUGUCUUUCACUACUUA